CCCGCACAAGCGGUGGAGCAUGUGGUUUAAUUCGAUGAUACGCGAGGAACCUUACCUGGGCUCAAAUGUAUGUUGACGUAUUCUGAAAGGGAUACUUCUUCGGACAAUAUACAAGGUGCUGCAUGGUUGUCGUCAGCUCGUGCCGUGAGGUGUCGGGUUAAGUCCCAUAACGAGCGCAACCCCUACCUUUAGUUGCCAUCAGGUAAUGCUGGGGACUCUAAAGGAACUGCCUACGCAAGUAGUGAGGAAGGCGGGGAUGACGUCAAAUCAGCACGGCCCUUACGUCCAGGGCUACACACGUGCUACAAUGGCCGAUACAGAGGGCAGCUACCUGGUGACAGGAUGCAAAUCUCCAAAGUCGGUCUCAGUUCGGAUCGGAGUCUGCAACCCGACUCCGUGAAGUUGGAUUCGCUAGUAAUCGCGCAUCAGCCAUGGCGCGGUGAAUACGUUCCCGGGCCUU
rnacentral:rRNA from 1 species